GGGCUUUACUGAGUUUAACUUGUUGGUUCUUCUCUCAGUUGCCCUGGCCUGGACACAGGGAGGCUGCUGCAAACUUCAGAUGUCACACUGCAAAUUCCAGUGUCUGAAAAGUGUUCCUUCUUGGCUAGCAAAAGACUUCACUGAAGAAUGAAGUAGAGAAAGUGACGUGUAACAAAUCCAGCUGCAAAUACUACAGCGC
rnacentral:lncRNA from 1 species